GUGCCAGCAGCCGCGGUAAUACGGAGGGUGCAAGCGUUAAUCGGAAUUACUGGGCGUAAAGCGCACGCAGGCGGUUGGAUAAGUUAGAUGUGAAAGCCCCGGGCUCAACCUGGGAAUUGCAUUUAAAACUGUCCAGCUAGAGUCUUGUAGAGGGGGGUAGAAUUCCAGGUGUAGCGGUGAAAUGCGUAGAGAUCUGGAGGAAUACCGGUGGCGAAGGCGGCCCCCUGGACAAAGACUGACGCUCAGGUGCGAAAGCGUGGGGAGCAAACAGGAUUAGAAACCCCCGUAGUCC
rnacentral:rRNA from 1 species